UGCCCAGCAACUCCUAUCCCUACCUCCACGUGGCACCGGCCGGGCUACGAGCAACCUUAGGGAAGAUCGGGUAGCCAUCCCCGGUGGGAACUUUGGUCGUAGGCUGACAGGGAAGG
rnacentral:ribozyme from 1 species